CAACUCGCUGAAGAGUGAUGUUUGACAAACGAAACAUAUUGAAUUAGUUAAUGUCCGAUUAUAAAAGUGAGAGUUGAACAAUGUAACUACCUUUUUUAUAUAGGUCAAUCUCUCUAGGGUUUCUCUUCCCCUCCACCACGCUAGGGUUGCUCUUCCCCUCCACCUCUCUAGGGUUUUUCCUCUUCACGUCUCUAGGGGUUUUCCUCUUCACAUCUCCAGAUGCCCAUUUUCACCUCUCUCUUUCUCACAUCUCUCUCCAUUUCCCCUUUCACCCUUUACACUCCGGUCAAGCUUUCCUCUCUCUCCUCUCUCACCGGCCUUUUCACGCAGCACUCCUCAGCGGUCACGCUUUCCUCUCUCCCCUCUCUCACCGGCCCUUUCACGCAGCUCUCCUCAGGGAACCGGUGGCGGCGCCGGUGGCACCACCGGCGGUGGCGGUGAUGCAGUCGUUGGCGGUGGUGGUGGUGGCGGCGCCGGCGGUGGUGGUGGUGGCGGCGCCGGCGGUGGUUGUGGCAGCUGCAACUGCAUUGGUGUGUGUCAGUAUAAACCCUCCUUAAUUCCAAGACUCGACUUUGGUUUCAACGUCGCCUUCAACAUCAUCCACCGUUUCGGUUUGUGGUCGGUAGCUUUGGCUUUCUUGUCUGAGCUUGUGACUGAGAAGAAUGUUAAGCAUUUUGCAGAGAGUAUGAUAAGGAUCUGCGAUCCGAGCUUAGUAUAAUAGGGUUUCAGUUUUAAUAUAUCUUUAUCUUCCACUUUGAUCAAUCUGUCUAGGUUUAAGUUGUAAUAACUUGUCUUCUUCCACUUUGAUGAAUCUGUCUAGUUUUAAUAUCUUGUAUCUAGACUUUUGGUUUUCUCCCAUGUUGCAAAGUUCGUUCUUUUAUGGAACUUUUAUAUAAUGGAAAGAGCAAGACUUUUGUUU